rfam:Rattus norvegicus chromosome 20, whole genome shotgun sequence.
GGGGAUUUAGCUCAGUGGUAGAGCACUUGCCUAGCAAGCGCAAGGCCCUGGGUUCGGUCCCCAGCUCCCA